rnacentral:tRNA from 5 species
GGGCUGGUAGCUCAGUUGGUAGAGCAGCGGACUUUUAAUCCGUUGGUCCCGGGUUCGAGUCCCGGCCAGCCCACCA